AUGUGUGACGUAACAGUGGUACAGUUUUACAUAUAAUUUAAUGAGAAGCGUACGAUAUAAUUGAUUAGGUUAGAUUAAAUUAAUCAAAACAAGCUGCUGUGAUGAUGCAUUUAACAUAAUAGUAUUAAUUUGACGAAUGUGCAGCUAUUGAAGUUAAAUGAUAUUUGUGGACACAUUUUUAAAGUAAUCAUGAGUCUCGUAUCUCAUUUCAAUUACAUGAAACUAAACUACAAAUAUUUAUGUAUUCCACAUUAACGUUAUUCAUUACAAGUACUAUAUUACUUUUCUUAUAUCUCAAUCAUUAUAUUCAACCACAUUAUUUCAUCGAUGAAACUUUUCAUAUACCGCAGACAAUACGAUACAGUGCAUGGAAUUUUAAGCAGGGGAUUCAAAAAUCACUACGUUGCCAGGAUUGUAUCUUGUUACAACUGCAAUAUUAUCAUCUUUUAAUAUGUGCAACGUUAUAUAUAUAAUAUGUAUAAAUUUGUUGGGAACGUGCCUAAAUCUUUAGCUUAUUUAUAAUAUUAUAAAAGGAAAUUGCAAAUCUAAUGAAACAGAGCAGUGGAAUAUUUGGUUGAUACUUACGCUGGCCUACAAUAUUACUCUUUUUCCAUCGUUGUACUUUUGGUGCUUUUUUUAUUAUACAGAUGUUAUAUCUGUAAAUAUAGUACUCGUAAUGUUGUUUUUAUACCAAUGUAAGUGCACAAAAAUGACAGCAUUUGCAGGUUUAAUAGCUGUACUUGUUCGUCAAACAAACAUCAUUUGGCUUGGCUUCCUUACUGUAGAAUAUGCGUUAGAUAUAUUUCAUAAUAAGAUGGAACAGCCAAUCUCACAACGAGUGCUCAGUACUCCAUUACACUUUCGUGUAAGUAAAAUUAAAAAGUUUUCAUGCACAUAUCAUAAUCACAUUUCUAUAAUAAAGUGUUUUACUGGGAGGAUCAGCCUUAUGCCCAACGAAUUUCUUGGUGAUAUUUAACAUAAAAACGAAUGCAGAUCAUAAAAAAAAUUAAUUUAUUUUAAUGUUAAGUAUUUUCUAUCUUCCUGCUUUAUCUUUUUCUGUAUACUUAACUUAAAGGGGGACAUUAAAUUAUUCAUGAUUGAUCGACAAUUAUAUUUCGACGAACAAUAAUUUAUUGUUCAUAGAUGAAACUUGUGGCAAUACUG